CCGCUGUCUGAGGAGCCCGCAGAGCAGACCUGGGGAGCACGGCCGGGUUCUCGGCUGCUGACGGCGGCUCGCAGGUCGGGGGGGUCUUCGUGCUCUCCCUACUUGACGCGUCUCCUGACGGCAGCCUGUGGAGCAGUUUCCGUCACGGACGUGCAAAGCUUUGAACAGAAACACUGCCCGAUGCCGACAGUAGGUGAGCGCCCUGGACACAGAGUCCACCGGAACUGCGGCUGCAGCACCCGUCAACACGGCCAGGAGAAGGCCCUCCGAGCCCUAACAGCCUCCUGAACUCAUGCGCUCCCCUAAGUCUCCAAGCCUUAAGUCGGUGGCGCCGGAAACGGAGAAGCUUCCUUGUGCAACCACAAAUGGCGGCAUCAGAAUCCUCGGAGCCCUAGGGCCGAUGCGACAUAGCCGGCAUCCCACGUGGGCGCCAGUUCGAGUCCCGGCUGCUCCACUUCCGAUCCGGCUCCCUGCUGAUGUGCCUGGAAAGCAGCCCAGCUUGGCUGCAGUGCUUGGGCCCCUCCCUGCCCCCAUGCGGGAGACCCGGAGGAGCUCCCGGCUUCAGCCCGGCCCAGCCCUGGCCGUGCAGUCACUUGGGGAGGGGCCAGCAGAUAGAAGAUCUCUAAC